UGUUAAUAUAGCAUAAGAAGUGCAUUUGUUUUAAGCGCAAAAGAUAUAAAUUAACUAA
rnacentral:tRNA from 1 species